UGGGGAAUUUUGGGCAAUGGGGGCAACCGGAAUCCAGCCAUGCCGCGUGCGGGAAGAAGGCCUUCGGGUUGUAAACCGCUUUUGUCAGGGAAGCGGUACCUGAAGAAUAAGCACCGGCUAACUACGUGCCAGCAGCCGCGGUAAUACGUAGGGUGCAAGCGUUAAUCGGAAUUACUGGGCGUAAAGCGUGCGCAGGUGGUUGUGCAAGACAGAUGUGAAAUCCCCGGGCUUAACCUGGGAACU
rnacentral:rRNA from 1 species